GCUCGUAUCUAUGGUUCCAGAUUUCUUUCCUAGGGUUUCUACCUCCAGCGUUGCCUCACUUUGGGUUUUCUUUAUUGUGUCUACUUCCCUUUUUAGUUCUAGUAUGGUUUUGUUCAUUUCCAUCACCUGUUUGGAUAUGUUAUCUUGUUUUUCUUUAAGGACUUCUGUUUGGUUGUGUUUUCCUGUUUUUCUUUAAGGACCUGUGACUCUUUAGCAGUGUUCUCCUGUAUUUCUUUAAGUGAGUUAUGAAAGUCCUUCUUGAUGUCCUCUACCAUCAUCAUGAGAAGUGUUUUUAAAUCUGGGUCGUCUAGAUUUUCGGUUGUGUUGGGGUGCCCAGGACUAGGUGGGGUGGGCGUGCUGUGUUCUGAUUUUGGUGAGUAGUCUUGGUGUCUGUUAGUAGGAUUCUUACAUUUGCCUUUCGCCAUCUGGUAAUCUCUGAAGCUAGCUGUUAUAGUUGUCUCUGGUUAGAGCUUGUUCCUCAGGUGACUUUGUUAGCCUCUAUAAGCAGACCUCGGAGGCUAGCUCUCUCCUUAGUUUCAGUGGUCAGUUUCUCUGUAGGCAAACUCUCUUCUUGCAGGGAAGGUGCCCAGAUAUCUGGUGUCGAACCUGCCUCCUGGAAGAAGUUGUGUUCCACUCACCAGAGGUCUUAGGAUCCCGUGGGGAAUCCUGUGUGGGCCCUUGCGGUUGUGGGAGACUCUGCUGGCAAGGCACCCCGGUGCUCGAGUCUUUGAAGUUUCUCUGUGUAGCCCUGGCUGUCCUGGAACUAACUCUGUAGACUAGGCUGGCCUGGAACUCAGCUAUGACCUGGACUCAAGCUGUGGUCUUGGUGUCUACUGGGAUGAGUGUUGCACAUCUAUGAAUACAAUCAAGAAAAUCCCCACAGAUACUAUCACAGGUCAACCUUGUCUACGCAACCAUUGAGGCUCUCUUCCCAGGGCUACUCAAGUUUGGAGUCAUUUACUUAUGUUGGUGAUUUCAGAUCACAAAUUAUAUCUGCCGAACGUAGAGAUCUUACUCCUUCAAUGAAGGCAAGACUUUUGUCAAAUGGGAAUCAGUUGUGUCAUGACUCUGAAUUUAUAGUAUAUUCAUCGUUGAUACUGAUGAUAACUGGCCAUGAACCUGAGCAUGGAAUGCACCAGAGAGACUCCAUUUGCAAGCUGAUGCAACAAGACUAUGUAUCCUCUACAAAGAGGAUGCUGAAAGCUGCUCCAGACAGUGUGCACAAAGACAUUGACAAGCAGAGCUACAACCAGUAGCAUGCUGAAAAUCAGGAACCUAAAAGUGUUGACAUACACUAGUCCUCCAAGGUCUAAUCACAUGAGCUCCAAGAAUGUGGCCAGUGAUAUGGCUCAGGACCUAGUGGUGUUUGUCACAAAGCCCGACAGCCUGAGUUUGAUCCUUGGGACCCAUGAGCUGGAACUCCUGCAAGUUGUAUUCUGACCUCCACAUAUUCUGAUCACACAAAUGCUGCCACACUCAAAAAAAUAAAUAAAUGUAAAAAUUCAAAU
rnacentral:lncRNA from 1 species